rnacentral:rRNA from 1 species
UACAGAGGGUGCAAGCGUUGUCCGGAUUUACUGGGCGUAAAGCGCGCGCAGGCGGCACUGUAAGUAAGGUGUGAAAUAUCCCUGCUCAACGGGGAGGGUGCACUUUAGACUGCAGAGCUAGAGGACGGUAGAGGGGGGUGGAAUUGCUGGUGUAGCGGUGAAAUGCGUAGAGAUCAGCAGGAACACCCGUGGCGAAGGCGGCCCCCUGGGCCGAACCUGACGCUGAGGCGCGAAGGCUAGGGGAGCGAACGGG